rnacentral:rRNA from 1 species
UACGAAGGGGGCUAGCGUUGCUCGGAAUCACUGGGCGUAAAGCGCACGUAGGCGGAUUGUUAAGUCAGGGGUGAAAUCCUGGAGCUCAACUCCAGAACUGCCUUUGAUACUGGCGAUCUCGAGUCCGGGAGAGGUGAGUGGAACUGCGAGUGUAGAGGUGAAAUUCGUAGAUAUUCGGCAAGAACACCAGUGGCGAAGGCGGCUCACUGGCCCGGUACUGACGCUGAGGUGCGGAAAAGCGUGGGGAGCAAACAGGG